GGGGUUGUGGCUCAGCAGUGGAGCACUCACCUUGAAUGUGUGAGACUCUGGGUUUGAUCCUCAGCACCA
rfam:Ictidomys tridecemlineatus contig110391, whole genome shotgun sequence.